rnacentral:rRNA from 1 species
AUUGAACGCUGGCGGCAGGCCUAACACAUGCAAGUCGAGCGAGCGGCGGACGGGUGCGUAAUGUCUGGGAAACUGCCUGAUGGAGGGGGAUCACUGCUGGAAAAGGUAGCUAAUACCGCAUACCAUCAGAUGUGCCCAGCUGGGGGUAGCUAGAAGGGGGGGUAACGGCUCACAUAGGCGACGAUCCCUCGCUGGUCGGAGAGGAUGACCAGCCACACUGUAACUGAGACACGGGCCAGACUCCUACGGGAGGCAGCAGUGGGGAAUAUUGCACAAUGGGCGCAAGUCUGAUGCAGCCAUGCCGCGUGUGUGAAGAAGGCCUUCGGGUUGUAAAGCACUUUCAGUGGGGAGGCGGUACCCGCAGAAGAAGCACCGGCUAACUCCGUGCCAGCCGCCGCGGUAAUAC